GCCUACCGCACCUAAACAGGGACUUUCGGUCGAGUCAUCAAUCAGGAUUUGUCAUCUUGCCUACGGCCUUGUGACUGGGGUGAUCCCUCACCGUGUGACACCUCUGACACACGCAUUGCGUGCAGACGGCCGCAGGCUUCCUCCAGCAGGUGCUGAGAAAGUCCAGGAUGCAGGAGGGAUAUUUUUAUACCAAAGGAUUUGGAACAGGCUUUACUGUUCAGAACAUGUCAGGUAGUUUUCCACUACAAUCUGUGGAACGCUUGGAUGCAUCAUGGCUGGAAUGUCUACAAGUGUCUCGACCCGUAGUCCCCUGGCGACCAUUGUCUCCUUCCAGUGUCCAGCAGAGAGGAGAGAAUCAGGGGAAGCUAGGACUUCCACUUUUCCUGUCUCUUUUUUGUUCUGUAACUCACUUGGGUUGGAAAUCCCUGAAAAAGCAACCUUAAAAUAUGUCUCUUCUUCCCAGAAAUAAACAAGGAAAGGUGUACCAAGCCUUUCAACAACUGAAAAA